rnacentral:rRNA from 1 species
AUACGGAGGAUCCGAGCGUUAUCCGGAUUUAUUGGGUUUAAAGGGUGCGCAGGCGGGAUGUUAAGUCGGCGGUGAAAUUUUGCAGCUCAACUGUAAAAGUGCCUUCGAUACUGGCUUCCUUGAGUGUGGAUGAAGUAGGCGGAAUUUGUGGUGUAGCGGUGAAAUGCUUAGAUAUCACGAGGAACUCCGAUUGCGCAGGCAGCUUACUAAACCACUACUGACGCUCAUGCACGAAGGCGUGGGGAUCAAACAGGAUUAGAUACCCUGGUAGUCCACGCAGUAAACGAUGAUUACUAGUUGUUUGCGAUACAAUGUAAGCGACUGAGCGAAAGCGUUAAGUAAUCCACCUGGGGAGUACGUUCGCAAGAAUGAAACUCAAAUGAAUUGACGGGG